AGUGGCAUCAAUUCUGUGAUGGUUUUGGUCUUUUCAUGGGAUUUAUUGAUACUAAGAAAAAUGUAGAAUAUUUCUGCCUCAUCCUUUCAGCAACAUUGAUGUUAAAGCAUCAUGUCCCUGAAACUCUACUAAUAUCCUACUACAGACAUUUCAAGCCCCAGAUGAUGAGCAGUGAAACUAAGUGCAGCUCUUCUAAUGAUAAAAAGCCCAAUUUUUUUUAGCACAGAUAUUCACAAACUUUGGUGUUUCCAUUGUUUUGUCCAUGUCCCAGCCCCUUAAAAAGCUCCAGUAGUGUAACCGCAUCUCUCAGAGGAUUCUUUCUGGGAGACCGUGGGCAGUGUUUUUCUUACAUCCCCAUUAAACACUUUAGAAACUUUCGGAAACACUGCCCUCUGCUCCCACUCUGCUCCCUCUCUGCCUACAUCAGCCUGCUCUCCAUGCAGCUCAGACACUCUCAAGCCAAACAUGCCAGUUAGAUCAACGCAGGGAAGGUACAGACAGGGCUGAGGGACCAAAGAGUCCCACCUCCCCCGACUGUAGCUUCCUGUAAAAAUAAAAGCAAGAAGCGGGAACGCAGCGAGAGGACACACAUACAGACAGAAUGAGAGGGUGAAGACAGUGGAUGAGUAAAGUGCCAGUCCAAGCUACUGCAAGAGUGUGUCAAACCAAAGACAGAGGCGUUACCUUGGUGUCAAUACGAAGCAGGAACUGAGCAAGGCCUUUGAUUGGUCCAGGCAGCAGGGCCUCCUCUCGCUCACGUCCGAACUUCUCCAGCACCAUCCACCAUGAGGGACAGGUGGUUUCUCUUGGGAGCCCACGAUGAGGAGUACAACCACAACCACAAAUAUGGGCACUCUCCAGGAGCCGGUCAGAGACACUAAAAACAGACACAGUGAUCAGUGUGGUAACUAUGUAUCUCCUCUCUAUUGUGGAGAAACCUGUUGUUCUUGAACUGGAUGCUGUCUUUAUGACAUUACAGGUUGUCUCCUUGGUGGAAAUGUUGGCAUCUGGGUCACUGCUUGUGUUGUUGGACCAGCUGAUGCUUAGCUCUAAACAUGUUUUGCCAUAAAAUAAAUAAGAGAUAAUAUAGAUCAUUUUGACCAAUCGUCUGGUAACUUUUUUUUUAAUUUGCCCACAACCCCGUCUCACUUCUGCUUAUUCUUCUCUUGAGCAGAACUUCUUCUUAAUAGCUCUCUCUUUUAACAUUUCACGCCUAAAGGUCAACACUUCUUUCCGGGACAUGGCUUGUGUGUGCUAAAAAUACCUAAGGCUUCCUUCAUCUUACUGUGUAACUCUGCAUGUGCUCUUUCUGACAGACUUGUAGAGACAGCUCCCUUGUCUUGUUUAGAAAACUUCAAUCCCUCACUUUUGAAAGAACACUGUGUUUGGCCUCUAGAUUCUCUAAAUCUUGUUUCAAGCUAACUGCUGCACUCAAGUAGACAAAAUUUGAAGAAAUAUUCCCCGGGGGAAUAUUUGUAUGCAAAGAGGGACUUUGCAUACAAGUAUGCAAUGAUAACUAACACGUCUGAGCAGGCUCCCCAGGCUUCCUCUCGUCUCUUCACUCACCAAUGUAGAAGAGCAGGACGGCCCAGACAGGAAGGGCCAGAGCCCUCAGGUAGCGUUCAGUUUGGGGACUCCACUUGAAACAAACGGCCAACAAGUAGCCAAACACCACAGUGCACACCUGAGAAGACACAGAAGAUAACAAAAAACAAAUCCUUUCUUUUACAAAAAUAUCGACGUCCAAAUCAAUGAUUCCAGAAGCUAAGGCUCUGAGUUAUUGUGGGUUUUACAUUUCACAUUUAAAAUAGAGUUUUGUGGCAAUAUUUUGAUGGUUGAUCACUUAAGUCAUUUCUCUACCAAAAGCCACUAAAAAAGCCACUAAACCUUUGAAGAUGGCACCUUGGGUUCAAAAACCAAAGUGCUUGAUUUGUCUGAGCAAUUUUAUCUUGUUGUAGUCGAACGUCAUGAAUAUGAGUUUAACAAGACAAAAAAAAUAUCUUGAUCUUCUUCCCUAAACUGCUGCACAUUUUAAAAACAUUUAAGCACCUUUCAGACCUUGCAGCACACAAUCUGUUGCUGUAAUGCUCUAUAAGCAUGAAAUACGAUGCUCCAGUCUGUAAUCAACAGUUAAGAAAAGGCCUUGGCUGGUUCCACUCCACACAAGAAUAUAUUUCAAGUGUGUCCUCCUUAAUAUUUAUAGACAAGAGCCCUGUGCCAGUCCACUGCUGCAUUUAGAGAAAGGACAGGCUGUCUGAGGAGGAACAUUUUAUGCAAUUUGUAUCUAGUCAAAGCGAGGCUGGGCUCAGGCCCCUGGAGCUGUUUUGGAAUAAUAAGGUAUUGAUCGAUCAAACACUGGAACUGCAGGAAAUUAGAUCAGCUGCUAUACAAAUUUAGGAACAUAUUCCAAGAAAAAAAAAAACUUUCUGCACUGAGGUUAAUUUAAUAAGCCGCUAUUAGAGACGUUCAAGGAAACAGGAUACAAUUUGCAGCUGUAAGUCAGUCUGCAAUGCUUUUAAUCCAGUAUUAUCAUUUAUCAGCUAUCAUUUAAAGUUUCUGGGUUUGUAUUGUGGUGAUAUGUAGGUGAUGAUGCUUUGACAAAGUUUAAUCGCCUACAUUAAUAAUUCUGAGCCAAUAAAAUUUGUUGAAGUUGGGUUGAAAAUAACAAUGAUCAAGUGCAAGUUUUCAUGAUGAAUGAUGAAUAGAUAUUUAAUUUAUUAUCAUACAAGGCCAUGAAAACCAGCAGAUAUUCACACUGGAGAAGUUGGAACCAGUGAAUUUUGGAGAAGUUUUAAAAAAAGGAUUAAUCAGUCAUCAGACUUGUGGCAGAUUAAUCUCCUGUCAAUCACACAAGCAAUAAGUUGUUUUAGCUCUAUCAAUAAGUUUUUAUUAGAUUACAGAAAGCAGUGGGACCUGCUUCUUUGUGCUAAGUCAAUCUGAGAAUCAUAUAUGUGAUUCACAUAUAUGGGGAAAAUAUUUGAUAUGUGAUCUUGAUUUCAGCCAUUAGACCCAGCUCCGGUCUGAGCUGCAGUUUGUGUAGGGUGACCCAGCUGACAGAGCUGACCUCGCCCAACCAAUAGCACCCAUACUGGCUGACACAGAAGACCUUUUGUGUGUGGGUGUGUGUGUAGGUGUGUGUGUGUGUGUGUGUGUGGGUGUGGAGGGGGCGGGGGGCUUUAUAACCAGUUGUCACUGUCCAUUCACUCACCCACACAGUGUGGAAACAGUCCAGCGCGGCCCCGAUGAUCGCACAGACGUGCCCGAGGAUCACCUGCAUGCCGAUGACGCUCCAGAAAAGGUAGAGGAAGUAAACCAGCGGCGCCCCGGCCCCGAUCACUAACAGUACCGUGAGCCUCUCCAGCACCAGCCUGCCCAUCGCUUCCACCCCGUAGUUCACACACCACACCGGGAUCAACAGAGUCCCCACCACGAUGGGCGUUCCGGUGUCCUGCAGGCCGCUGAGCCACGAGCGGCCAAGCCGGGCUAGGGAGUACUUGAAGGGGUGGAGGAAGGUGCCGCAGAGCACUGCCCAGAGAAGCGGGCGCAGAAAGGCCUCCAGGAUGAAGUAGACCAGGACAGAUGCCCCGCAGCAGAUAGCCACAAAGAUCAUAGCCCCCAUGUUGUAAAAGGCCUGUUUGAUGUUUUUGUCAAACUUUAGGGAGGAGGGCUGGGUUAGCAGUUGGCUCACCAUCCCGACGGCCGGCUGGAAGCUCUCGGAGAAAGAGACCGAGUGAGGCCGCCCGGUGUGAGGGCUCUCCGGCGGAGAGACAGCGGCAGGCUCCGGCGCCGAGUCCUCCUCAUCUGCCAUGUUCUCCGAUUCCGCUUCGGCUGUUCACCCGACGGACGACCCGCGUGAGGGAGGAAAACAUGUGACGUAGCACUGGUGCCCAAGGGCAGCAUGGGGAAUGCAGUGCUAAUGAAAAGACAACCACUUCCUGUAUUUUAUAUUUUCGUAUAUUUCUCAGUAUAUAUUUUUAAACUUUAUCGUGGGUUUUUUGUCUUAUCAUUGUUAUUCUAUUUUUUUUUUUUUUUUUUAAUCUAAAUAACGUUCCUGUUUUUCUUUUCAGGAAUGGUAGUGCAUAGUGAAUGUAUUAUUAUGGAGCCAUUACUUAUAGAUUUUUUUCAGUCUUUGGCGCCUCACAGUGGUAGCAUUAAACAAGACACUGUGGAAGACAAGGCACAUCACCUAUGUCAUCAGAACAACUUAAAAGAUUAAAUAAAAUAAUACAAAAUAUAGUGGCUUUAAUGUAAUAAGGGCUAAAACCAGCAGUUUGAAUAAAGUGUUUUGGUGUUUUA